AGAACGAACGCUGGCGGCAUGCCUAAUACAUGCAAGUCGAACGAACACUUCGGUGUUAGUGGCGCACGGGUGCGUAACGCGUGGGAAUCUGCCCUUGGGUUCGGAAUAACAGUUGGAAACGACUGCUAAUACCGGAUGAUAUCGAAAGAUCAAAGAUUUAUCGCCCAGGGAUGAGCCCGCGUAGGAUUAGCUAGUUGGUGAGGUAAAGGCUCACCAAGGCGACGAUCCUUAGCUGGUCUGAGAGGAUGAUCAGCCACACUGGGACUGAGACACGGCCCAGACUCCUACGGAGGCAGCAGUAGGGAAUAUUGGACAAUGGGCGCAAGCCUGAUCCAGCAAUGCCGCGUGAGUGAUGAAGGCCUUAAGGGUUGUAAAGCUCUUUUACCCGAGAUGAUAAUGACAGUAUCGGAGAAUAAGCCCGGCUAACUCCGUGCCAGCAGCCGC
rnacentral:rRNA from 1 species